GACGAACGCUGGCGGCGUGCUUAACACAUGCAAGUCGAACGGAAAGGCCCUGCUUUUGUGGGGUGCUCGAGUGGCGAACGGGUGAGUAACACGUGAGUAACCUGCCCUUGACUUUGGGAUAACUUCAGGAAACUGGGGCUAAUACCGGAUAGGAGCUCCUGCUGCAUGGUGGUGGUUGGAAAGUUUCGGCGGUUGGGGAUGGACUCGCGGCUUAUCAGCUUGUUAGUGGGGUAGUGGCUUUCCAAGGGUUUGACGGGUAGCCGGCCUGAGAGGGUGACCGGCCACAUUGGGACUGAGAUACGGAGCAGACUCCUACGGGAGGCAGCAGUGGGGAAUAUUGCACAAUGGGCGGAAGCCUGAUGCAGCAACGCCGCGUGCGGGAUGACGGCCUUCGGGUUGUAAACCGCUUUCGCCUGUGACGAAGCGUGAGUGACGGUAAUGGGUAAAGAAGCACCGGCUAACUACGUG
rnacentral:rRNA from 1 species